GAUGAACGCUGGCGGCGUGCUUAACACAUGCAAGUCGAACGAUGAAGCCCAGCUUGCUGGGUGGAUUAGUGGCGAACGGGUGAGUAACACGUGAGUAACCUGCCCUUAACUCUGGGAUAAGCCUGGGAAACUGGGUCUAAUACCGGAUAGGAGCGUCCACCGCAUGGUGGGUGUUGGAAAGAUUUAUCGGUUUUGGAUGGACUCGCGGCCUAUCAGCUUGUUGGUGAGGUAAUGGCUCACCAAGGCGACGACGGGUAGCCGGCCUGAGAGGGUGACCGGCCACACUGGGACUGAUACACCGCCCAGACUCCUACGGGAGGCAGCAGUGGGGAAUAUUGCACAAUGGGCGCAAGCCUGAUGCAGCGACGCCGCGUGAGGGAUGACGGCCUUCGGGUUGUAAACCUCUUUCAGUAGGGAAGAAGCGAAAGUGACGGUACCUGCAGAAGAAGCACCGGCUAACUACGUG
rnacentral:rRNA from 1 species